GAGGAAACACACUACCUGUCGUCCAUCUCAUGAUUUAUCUGUUUUUUUCAGAGUCUCCAUGACCACAGUUUGAUUUACAAUCCAAAGCAAAAGUUUAGAGGGCAAGUUGGUCAUCUGACGAAAAUGGCUUCUGGACCAAAAAGAAGACACAGCAAACAGCUGCCUCCUAAUCUGUCUGAAUUAAUGGACAAACUUACUGAAGAAGCAGCUUUAUUCAUCCAGCAGUUUAGCACCAGUGAACCAAGGAUGAGAGAAAUUGUAGAAGAGUUUCUGAGGAUUUCAAAUAAAAUAAAAGACAUGCAGUGGAAAAUGGACACAGUGAGAAACGUGGGAGCUGUUACUGGAGGAGCAGCAGUAGCAGCAGCUGUAGUCAUUGGAGCCUCAAUCGUUGCAGCUCCGUUCACUGGUGGGAUGAGUUUACCAUUUGGAGCUGCUGCUAUAGGCAAAGUUUUUGCUGCUGGUGGAGUUGCUGUUGUUGCAGCCAAUAUAAGAAAAAUGAUGUCAGAGAGUGGAAGUGCAAAGAAAGUAGAAGAACUGGGGAAAGAAUUCAUGGCGAUUGUGGAACCAAUGAAGAAGAACCUGGAAGAAAUAAAGAUGACGUGUGAAAAGUUGGAGGAAAAAUCAGCAGAAGCUCAGGCUGAAAACUCUCUGACUGAUGUGGAGGAGCUUCAGAGGUGUCUUAGACAAGUGUCUGAACUUAAAGAGAAAAGUGCAGGAGUUUUGACUGAAUCUGUAUCAGUGCUGUAUGCGAUCAAUCAGCUACUGAUUCUCAUUGUCAGCAUCUUCAGGGUGACUGCAACCCCUGAAAACGAUAAAAGGUUAGAAGAGGCCAUUAUCCAGUCAGCUGAUCAGAGUCAAAAGGUUGUUAAUGAGUUAUAUGAGAUGAGAAAUGAACUCGGUGACUUCACAGAAAAGACGAGAGAAUAGAAACCACCCUGUGAACCAGUUCAGACUAACAAAUAAAAUUUUAAGAAUAAAGGAUCACCAGACUGUGAUCUGGACUGUAUGAAGGACUCAUGUAGUUUGAGCCUGAGCUUCCUCAUGACCUCCGUUAGCAGACUGGAUGUUGUUGUAUAUCCAUGUAAAGCUGGUCCACAGCCUCUCCACUGAUCUGCAA
ensembl:lncRNA